GUUGGUCAAUAACUACAUGGAGUUUUCUCCCCCUCCAGUUUCACCACCCUCGGAUGCACCAGUGCCGCUCUGGCCUGUCCUAUCUGUGUGUGCUGUGUCCCUGUGCUGUGUCCCUGUGCCCUGUCCCUGUGCUGUGCCCCUGUGCCGUGUACCUCAGCCGUGUGUGCCGUGUCCCCGUGCUGUGUCCCUGUGCCGUGUCCCUGGCUGGGGUCUCUCCCCCUGCAGCUGCCACGCUGGCGCCGGCAGAGAGCCUGGAGCAGUGGGUGCCAGAGCGUCUCACCUUCAGCCUCUGGGACUACGGGGUGUUCGCACUGAUGCUGCUGGUGUCCACCGGGAUCGGGCUGUUCCACGGCCUCGCCAGGGGCGGCCAGAAGACAUCAGAGGAUUUCUUCACGGGGGGCCGGCGCAUGUCAGCGCUGCCUGUGGGGCUCUCACUCUCCGCCAGCUUCAUGUCAGCCAUCCAAGUUCUGGGGGUGCCAGCCGAGGCGCACCGCUACGGAGCCAAGUUCCUCUGGAUGUGCGUGGGGCAGCUCCUCAACACGCUGCUCACCACGAAGCUCUUCCUGCCCGUCUUCUACCGCUUGGGGCUCACCAGCACCUAUGAGUACCUGGAGCGGCGGUUCAGCAGGAGCGUGCGGCUCUGCGGGACCCUGCAGUACGUGAUGGCCACGAUGCUGUACACAGGGAUCGUCAUCUAUGCCCCGGCCCUGAUCCUUAACCAAGUGACCGGUCUGGACAUCUGGGCAUCCCUGCUCUCCACCGGAGUCAUCUGCACCUUCUACACCACCAUAGGUGGGAUGAAGGCUGUCAUCUGGACAGACGUCUUCCAGGUCUUCGUGAUGCUCUCCGGCUUCCUCGCCAUCAUCAUCCGGGGGGUACUGCUGGUGGGGGGCCCCACCAUGGUGCUGGCCAUUGCUGCCAAUGGCUCCAGGGUGAACCUGGCUGACUUCAACCCGGACCCGCGGAGCCGGUACACGGUGUGGACCUUCCUGGUGGGGGGCACGCUGGUCUGGCUCUCCAUGUAUGGUGUCAACCAGGCUCAGGUCCAGCGCUACGUGGCCUGCAGGACCGAGAGAGAGGCCAGGAUGGCGCUGCUGGUCAAUCAAGUGGGGCUCUUCUGCAUCGUCUCCAGUGCAGUGGCCUGUGGCCUUGUGAUGUUUGCACUCUACAAGGACUGCGAUCCCCUCCUCGCCGGCUACAUCUCGGCCCCUGACCAGUACAUGCCCUACCUGGUGCUUGACAUCUUCAAGACAUCCCCAGGGGUGCCAGGGCUGUUCCUAGCCUGUGCCUACAGCGGGACCCUGAGCACGGCCUCCACCAGCAUCAACGCCAUGGCCGCCGUCACUGUCGAGGACCUCAUCAAGCCCAGGCUGCCCGCGCUGGCACCGCAGCGGCUGACCCUCAUCUCCAAAGGGCUGUCGCUCAUCUACGGCACCUCAUGCAUCACGGUGGCCGCUCUGGCCUCGCUGCUGGGGGGGGGUGUGCUGCAGGGCUCUUUCACCGUCAUGGGGGUGAUCAGCGGCCCACUGCUGGGCGCCUUCAUCCUGGGCAUGUUCCUGCCCAUGUGCUCCACAGCUGGCGUGCUGGGGGGCCUGGCCAUCGGCCUGGCCCUCUCCUUGUGGGUGGCCGCGGGGGGCACCCUGUACCCCCCCAGCGCUGCCACCAUGGGGGUGCUGCCGGCCUCCGGAGCCCUCUGUUCCCUCUACAACCGCACCACCGGCGCCAACCGCACCGUGCUGCUGGGACCGCUGCCCCCCCCGCGAGGAACCGCCGGCGCCGGCACGCCCAGCCAUCGUGGGUGACUUCUAUGCCAUCUCCUACCUGUACUAUGGGGCGCUGGGGACCCUCACCACAGUGGUGGCCGGGCUCCUGCUCAGCUCCGUGCCAGGGCUGAGCAAGCGGACACGGCUGCCCCCGGGCGUGCUAUGGUGGGACAUCAUGAAGCAGACGUCGUUGGUGGCCCCCACGGGUGACAAGACCCCGGGGGAAGAGCCCCUGGGCAAGGCUGAAGCCCCCCAGGUGCUACCGGAGGGGGAUGGCAGCACCCCCCGCCCCGGGCCCAGCACCGCCACUGACCUCCUGCUGCAGGAGACCCAUGUGUAGGGUGUGGGGCGGGGGGGUCACCAGGCUGGGAGGACACAGGAUGAAGUCUCCAAUAAAGAAGGAGCUGUUUCCA